AAAUUGCAGUUGAUACUGUCAGUCUUGAGUACAGUAGAGGUGGGCGGAAUUCGUGGUGUAGCGGUGAAAUGCUUAGAUAUCACGAAGAACUCCGAUUGCGAAGGCAGCUCACUGGACUGCAACUGACACUGAUGCUCGAAAGUGUGGGUAUCAAACAGGAUUAGAUACCCUGAUAGUCCACACAGUAAACGAUGAAUACUCGCUGUUUGCGAUAUACAGUAAGCGGCCAAGCGAAAGCAUUAAGUAUUCCACCUGGGGAGUACGCCGGCAACGGUGAAACUCAAAGGAAUUGACGGGGGCCCGCACAAGCGGAGGAACAUGUGGUUUAAUUCGAUGAUACGCGAGGAACCUUACCCGGGCUUAAAUUGCAGUGGAAUGAUGUGGAAACAUGUCAGUGAGCAAUCACCGCUGUGAAGGUGCUGCAUGGUUGUCGUCAGCUCGUGCCGUGAGGUGUCGGCUUAAGUGCCAUAACGAGCGCAACCCUUAUCUUCAGUUACUAACAGGUCAUGCUGAGGACUCUGGAGAGACUGCCGUCGUAAGAUGUGAGGAAGGUGGGGAUGACGUCAAAUCAGCACGGCCCUUACGUCCGGGGCUACACACGUGUUACAAUGGGGGGUACAGAAGGCAGCUAGCGGGUGACCGUAUGCUAAUCCCAAAAUCCUCUCUCAGUUCGGAUCGAAGUCUGCAACCCGACUUCGUGAAGCUGGAUUCGCUAGUAAUCGCGCAUCAGCCACGGCGCGGUGAAUACGUUCCCGGGCCUUGUACACACCGCCCGUCAAGCCAUGGGAGCCGGGGGUACCUGAAGUACGUAACCGCAAGGAUCGUCCUAGGGUAAAACUGGUGACUGGGGCUAAGUCGUAACAAGGUAACCA
rnacentral:rRNA from 1 species